CAAGGAAACCGCUGUUGAUUAUAAAGAAAGGGGGAAGGGAUUCGACACCUGAAGAAACGCACAAGUCUACGCGACUGUUCCAGAAUACCUCAUCAGACUUUCCCGAAGGAGAGCUACACUACAUACCUCACACGGCCGCAAAGCCGCCAAGACUUGACGCCACGGCCCCUCCCACCGUGAUGGAAAUCAUACCCGACCUGGAACGGACGCGAAUGAACUGACACACUGCUGGUGGUUUUUGGGGGACGACCGGAACUGGGAUUGAGUCUCUUUCUCGCUCACUUGUGUAACUUGUUUUAUGCUUGCUUCGGUUUUUUUUUCUUUUCUCUCGUUUUAAUUUUAUUUUGGUUCCUCAAGCUGUCUGAGAAGAGUGAUUAUAUCUGCAUUUUGAUUUUUCAGGGAAGAGGAAAAUAAUAGUUAGUUCCUCGUGUGACAAGUGUAGAUCUGUAGUUUUCUGUAACAGGUUUUGAGGUCCCCGCAGGUCAAAGCAGAAAAAGAAAACUAUACAAUCGACCUUGUUAACCUUAAAUUUGACUGCAAAUUCCUGAAUCGCAGUUGACGAGUUGUCAUCCCCCGACAGCGGCAAAAUGAUAUGCAUGUGUACAAUCUUGUGGCCAGCGUUUUAAGACCUUGAUGUCCUGGUUCACAUAAGCCUCUGGGUACUGCACAGCUAGACACCAAAGACUGGCCAGGUGGCUCCUCCGGAUCGAUCCCCGCACAGCGCUGAGGUUUGGCCUUCAGGUACCAAGCAACAUUUCAUCUGGGUUUGAGUUUCCUCUCAGGCAAACAAAACCACUUUGUGUUGUCAUGGCGGGACUCAACAGUAGAAAUAAGUACAUUCAUAACCAGCUUUAAAGCCUCAGUGUGGUUACGUGGCACACAUUUCUGAUCUAUAGAGGCAGUUUUUAUUCUCUUUAUUAAACACACCAUCCGGAGUGGACGCGUCUCCGCCAGAGGCCCAUGAGCCUGGUCCCUUUAUUAAAACCCAGCAACAGUUGACUUAUUCCUCCAGUUGUUCUAAAAGGCAUUCUUCUCUUUUACGAGGCACCGCAAAGGAUGACAAAGGCCCUUCUGGCUUCAUCUGUGUUGACUGUGAGGCAUUUGAACUGUUGGUGGGCCGCCUUGUUGCUUUUACUAGACUAUGUUAGCCGUUACGUGUCAGCUUUUGCAGAUGUUUUGCGGGCAGAGCUCACUUUUGGGACUUUUCGGACGGCCUUUUUUGGUGAAUCCUUCAGAACUGACACUUCGCUGUAUUUUAUUCAGAUUCAUGAGAGCUGCAGACGCUGCCUUAAAGUAGUUGCUGGGGAGAUCUUUCUCUCGUCGACUGGCCGGGGAAAAUGUCUUUCUCUUAGAGAUUAAUCCUUCGGAGAGUAAUCACUUUUUUAUUGUGGCGAACACUUCAAUCAGACGUUCAGACACCAGUUGUAUCGACAACGGAUGGAUAUUUAUCUGUUUUGUUUGUUUCAGUGACCGCUCUGUUAAAUCCUUUAGGCCGUGUUACUGAAACCUUUCAUUGUUUCUAAGGCCAUGCUUUCUGUUUCAUCUGCUUAGUCUAAGCAUUGGCUGUUGGACAGUGUUGCUUCACUGCCGUGUGUGUGUGUGUGUGUGUGAGAGAGAAUAUACUGAACCUUCAGUACAUUUGUAAUGGCUGCAGGUGGCGCCACUGUCACAAUUUUCUCAAAUCUCGUGUGGAUUCACUGGGACGUCAUGUGUCACUUUGCGGUUGUCUGUUCGUGUUAAGUACUGAGGGCCGAUCCUUCACUUCUCUUCUGCUGCACGGCUUCAAGACACCGUAGAGCUCUGUUCACUGUGUGUGUGUGUGUGUGUGUCUAUAUAUACACGAAGUGUGUGUGCGUUAGAGACCGCCCCUACCUCGUCAUACCACAAUACCUCAGGGCAGUGGGCUGCAGUCACUGAUGCGUUCAAUGCUGAAGCUGCGUUGGGGGACGAGUGCUGACUGAUGCUGAAUGCAACGACUUUAUUUUUAUUUUUGG
ensembl:lncRNA